CCGAGUGUAGGGUUCCUAGCGAGCCCAACCUCCCACCCGUGUUUACUGUAACCUUAGUUGCUUCGGCGGGCCCGCCGUUUACGGCCGCCGGGGGGCAUCAGCCCCCGGGCCCGCGCCCGCCGGAGACACCACGAACUCUGUCUGAUCUAGUGAAGUCUGAGUUGAUUGUAUCGCAAUCAGUUA
rnacentral:misc_RNA from 1 species